GACGAACGCUGGCGGCGUGCUUAACACAUGCAAGUCGAGCGGAGCGGCGAACGGGUGAGUAACGCGUGAGUAACUGCCCCCCUCUCUGGGAUAACAGUUGGAAACGGCUGCUAAUACCGGAUAGUGGGGGAUGACUCGCGUCCUAUCAGCUUGUUGGUGGGGUAGUGGCCUACCAAGGCGACGACGGGUAGCCGGCCUGAGAGGGCGACCGGACACAGUGGGGUGGAGUAGUGCCCGAACUCCUACGGGAGCAAGGAGUGGGGAGAAUGGCAAAAUGGGGUAAACCAGGAAGCAGCAACCCGCGGUCGGAAUGGCGGCUGUCGGUUUGUAAACCGCUUUCAGCCAUGACGCGGGAGUGGCAGAAGAAGCACCGGCUAACUACGUGCCAGCAGCCGCGGUAAUAC
rnacentral:rRNA from 1 species